UACGUAGGGUGCGAGCGUUGUCCGGAAUUAUUGGGCGUAAAGAGCUCGUAGGCGGUCUGUCGCGUCGAUCGUGAAAACUUGGGGCUUAACCCUGAGCUUGCGGUCGAUACGGGCAGGCUAGAAUUCGGUAGGGGAGACUGGAAUUCCUGGUGUAGCGGUGAAAUGCGCAGAUAUCAGGAGGAACACCGGUGGCGAAGGCGGGUCUCUGGGCCGAUAUUGACGCUGAGGAGCGAAAGCGUGGGGAGCGAACAGG
rnacentral:rRNA from 1 species